GGAACCGUGAGACAGGUGCUGCAUGGCUGUCGUCAGCUCGUGUUGUGAAAUGUGGUUAAGUCCCGCAACGAGCGCAACCCUUAUCCUUUGUUGCCAGCGGUCCGGCCGGGAACUCAAAGGAGACUGCCAGUGAUAAACUGGAGGAAGGUGGGGAUGACGUCAAGUCAUCAUGGCCCUUACGACCAGGGCUACACACGUGCUACAAUGGCGCAUACAAAGAGAAGCGACCUCGCGAGAGCAAGCGGACCUCAUAAAGUGCGUCGUAGUCCGGAUUGGAGUCUGCAACUCGACUCCAUGAAGUCGGAAUCGCUAGUAAUCGUGGAUCAGAAUGCCACGGUGAAUACGUUCCCGGGCCUU
rnacentral:rRNA from 1 species